AAGAAGAACCAACUGGAUAGAAACUAACUUGAUAGGUUUUAUUUUUUCCCUGGGUUUCCAGCUGGGUUUAAUAAGAGACCAGACCAACAACCAAAGGUCAUUCCCAAUGCCCCAACCAAAAUGGAAGCACAUCUUUCCCUAGUGCUUUGUUUUACAAAUAGAAAAGAAAGAUGUAUUUGAGGCUGGGAGCACUCUAAAUCAGGGAUUGCAGAUAGUUUUGUCCCAAUGCCAAUUCCAGUUGGUGAGUGGAAGCUACUAGAAGUUCUAUGUUGAAAAUUCAUAUUAAGGCAUAGGAAGUUCUAAUAAAAUCAGUAAAUCACAAGAAUUUUCCAGCUGAUGGAAGUAGAUCUUAAUGAAGUGGUGCCUUCAACCUAAUUCACACCAAGAUAAAAUAUACUUGAGCAGUGAUGGAUUUCCACCAUUAUGUUAAACUCACAGGCUUUAAUUCAACUGAGCAAAUAUUGAUGGAAAGUCAAGACCAGCAGAAUGGCCCUUCAAGGUUUCUUCUAAUUUCAGGAUUCCACAAAGCCUGUGGAAAUGCUACAUGUCAUGGAGGACGGAGGAAGGGAUGUGUGCAGUGGCGGCGGAGGGGAUGUAUAUUUUGUUUGUUUGCUGAAUUUUAAUAAGGCCAUCUUGGUUUCUGCAUGAAAAUGAAAUGUGAGUUCAAUUCACUGAUAUAUAUUCUCCAAUGAAAAUCCAGAGCCUGACCCAGAAUCACUGCUCUGGCUCCUUCAGAUUUGAGUCAUUA
rnacentral:lncRNA from 1 species